AUGAACAUGCUUCCUAACACUUGCUCUGUCCUGGUGCUCCUGUUAAUGCUCAGGAGGAGCAAUGGAGACUCAGUGACCCCGACAGAAGGCCUGGUUACUGUCACAGAGGGGUUGUCUGUGAAGCUGAACUGUACCGAUCAGACUACUGAUUCAGCCCAUUUCCUUUUCUGGUACGUGCAAUAUGUCAAAGCCCCUUGGCUCCUGCUGAGGAGCUCCACAGAUGACAAGAGGACAGAGCAUCAAGUUUUCCAUGCCACUCUCCAUGAGAGCAGCAGCUCCUUCCCCAGGCAGAGGUCCUCAGUGCAGCUGUGGGACUCUGCCCUGUACUACUGUGCUCUGAGUGACACAGGGAGGGAGACUGCAGGGGAAGCUGCACACAAACCAAGGGGGCUGAGGGCUGAGGGGAGUGGCCCUAAGAUGAGAACCAUUUUUGCUUUUACACCAAAAUGGUUUCAUGGACCAAGGUCUCCUGAAAUGUGGCCGUGA